GACCUUCACAGGAAUAUACCUUGUGCUUUGUGACAAGCUAUGACAAGGCCUUCAGGUUUGUCAGGAUGUUCCUCCCAUCCCCUCCCUUCUCCUCUACAAUAUUCUGGAGUUGCUCAAACCUGUAUUUGAACAAAAGGCAUUUGAAGCAGCUGCAUCUGAAUGGAAAUUGGACAGGUUUCAAACAAAGAGGAAGACACAUGCUGACCUUCAUGGUCACAUCAGAUCCCAGUCUGCCCCCUUCACCAUGUUUUCUUGGAUGCACAGAUUUAUUCCUACAGGAAACAGCCAGAAUCACCUCCUGGAAAUUUGUCUCACAAUAUGUGCUGGUAUUUUAGCCUAGCAUUGAGGUGCUGCUAAAGAUUUUGAUUUUCCAGUGAAGAUAGGGGAACUUUAUUUUAUUCUGCAAAUAACAGAAUGGAACUCUGCAUCUCUUUCCAAGGCAAAGUAACACAAGGUGUGAUGUUAUCUGUUAGAGUUAUAGCAAAACAAAAAACAAAUGAGGUCUGGUGAGCCUUCUGAGACUAUAAUACUUUUCCAGUUAGCAACUAAUUAAGAAAGAAAUAAUUUUCAGAGGAUCAAGAGAAAUCAAAGAAAGGAAAAAAAAACAUCAGAUAAUUUCCUCUGCAGACUUUUCUAAUUUCAUUUAUUUUCUAAAAUACAAUCCUUU
rnacentral:lncRNA from 1 species